rnacentral:lncRNA from 1 species
CCCACUCCCGGGACAGUAGGAAGAAAGGGGAAGGGCAUCAACGUGCAACGGGCAUCCAAACUUCACAAUGAAAGCUUGGUUUCCCCAGGCUCGGUCCUCCUCCUCUUUCCACUGCCUAGGAAACCGCCCUCGGGUGCUCUCUCCGGCCUCUGGGACAGACAGGAAAACUCCUAAGCACGGGAGGAUCUUAUUCCCUGACUCGCUUGUGGUUGAAAAGCCAGUCACCAGACCUCAGAGAUCUUUUCAAGGGUUUACGAACUGCAUCUUGUUGUUUUCCAAAGCAGCGGUCUGUGGUCUGUGAUCUGUGGUCCGGAUGUACACCGACUGACUGAACCGGCGCCUCGCGAUGGGCAUGGAAGCCGCUUCCGCCCCCAAGCCCAUCAGAGGGCCAAGGUCAACCCCCCCCCCCCCGCCCCGUUUCCUCAACAGCCCCUCCGAAUCUCCAUCGCCUGCCUCAAGCGGGAUCGUCCUCAUACCGUUCGUUCGGUACCCGAAGAGAUCAGAGGCCAGCUACUCAAGAACUCUCCGUUUCCCGCACCCCCCCAACCCCCCGUUUGAACGUCCCUCUAUUUCUCUCCACCCACCCCUCCCCUUUCCCUUUGGUUUUCCAGGAAGAGGGAUUCAGCUUGGCAGUUCCAGGGUCCUGGCUCCACGUGGGGUGCCCUGGGAACCAUCUGCUCAGCCUCCCCCAAAGAUCUCGUUCCCUCAGUUUGCCAGCUGCUUUCUCUUCGGCCUGUCUCUUUCCUUAAGCCGCUGAGCACACCCAAGUCUCUCCCAGCAUCCACACCUCUCCUUUCUGCUCUUCCACCACUGCCUUCUCUCUCUACCUUUCACGGCUAAGCUGCUGCCAGAAGACCUCGACUCCUCGUCAGUCAUCCAGUCAUCACCUCGUCUCUCACCAGCUCCUCGAAAGAUUCCCCAAAUCUCGUCGCCGUCACGUCCUAGCAAGUGGCCAGUACACACCCUUCAGUUCCUUCGUCUUCCUAAACUCUCUGUGGUGUCUGAGGAAUGCUGCCCACGUCUUUAGUCUCUGCAAGUUCUCUCCACCCUCUUUCUCUGGGGGAUGGCCCCCUCCCCAGGCACGGUCUUCAGGGAACAGGAACCCCUCGGGUCUCAGAGCAAGCUCAUGCGCUCCUACGAUUCGACUCGCCCCCCGGAUGCCCAGGGCUUCUCAAACAACAGGAAGACGGCAGAUCAGAGAGCAGCUUGAUGGCAGCCCCCCGGCUCCCGCCCGACCGGACAUCGUGCAGAGGCUUGGACCAGCUGAAAUGACGGAUCGCCCACUUUCUGCGUCAGGGAUGGAGAUCCUCGGCGUGCAACACGUCGAACCCCACUGACUUCGCACUUGUGACCCACGAAGAGAUACGAGCGACAGUCGCACCUGAGCAGAGGACCCUUCAAGCUUCACCCCCAGCGCUCUCCUGGUCCCACCCCUACCCCGAACCCCAGAUAAACGCCCCAAUGUUUUGUUUUCCCUUUGAGGAGGCGGGUUUGAGUUUUACUCCCACCUCCUUGUCUGGCCGCCUCUUGAUCAUAAACCUCUUUCCUUGCUGCAA